UCCUGCAGAGAUCCUGGAAGAAUUCGAUGCGCCGGAGGAGCGCGGCAAGAGCGCGGCCGCAGGAAGAGAGGGGUGCUUCUUGGGAACAUGGAGGAGUGGAGAAUCCCACAUUGACCCCGGAGAUGUGGGCGAGAGCGGACGCCUGGAGCAGGGAGAGCCUGUCCCCGUGUGCCCCGCUGGCCUCCAUGGACUCCCUGGGCUCCCUGGCCUCCCAGUCGUGGGGCAGCUCCAUUUCCAUGGGCUCCCUCUACUCCUUCCCAGAGCCCUGGCCCGGUGCGAUGGCGGAGCUGGCAGCGCCCACCCGCUCAAGAUUCCCCUGGUCU